rnacentral:tRNA from 1 species
UAGAACUUAGGUUAAACCAAACCGUAAACCUUCAAAGUUUAAAUUAUAAAUGAUUUAUAGGUCUAU